AUUGAUUAAUCUAACAUUUUUGGUUAAAAAUUAGUUGAGCAACAAAUUGCAGAUACAAAUCUUGAUGUGAUGGUCUUAUAUAGCAAAGAAGAUUGUACCGAAACAGAAUAGAUCUUCUAUCCUAAACCAGAUAAGGUUAGAGCAAAAGGUUUCUUAGUUUAUUUGAGUUGAAUGUGUAUUUUGUAGGCUAUGGUCGCUAUUAGCUCAUUUAACAACAGUCUUCAUGAUCAUUCAAAUGAUCGUGACCAUAGUAGUUGAAUUAGUGUCCGAUAAAUGAUGCAAUGUAAUAUCUUAUAAAUCUCAUUUUAUCUUCUGUUUUAACAGUUCAGGAUUUGAGAACUUUGUGCUUACUUGCAACCAGUCUGGACAAAGGACCUCAUAAAUUCUCUGGCACCAUGAAGUAACAAAUUUCUCUUUUCUAUGUAUGUUCCAUCCCAAAAACUCUUUGUACAAAUAUUAUUCUCAGAUGUGUUAAUUAGCUUAUAGUUCUUUGACAAAUUAGAUACAUGGUUACAUGAUAAACAUGUGUUCAUUUGCAGAAGCUCACUCACAAGUCUCUAGCAUGACUAGUUGUUGACUGACAAAGAAGACAACUACAUAAGGUAUUACUUCAUCACUGAUGAGCGUUGAGAUCACUAAUCUAUUGAUGAAUCUAACGUUUUUUUUUAAUGUAAAAACUAGCUGAGCAACAAAUUGCAGGUACCAAACUUGAUGUGCUGGUCCUAGCAAAGGAAGUUGUACCACUUGUUGUCUUAGAUCAGAUAAGCUAUUGCCAUCUUAACGCAUCUUGAAUAAAAUAGACAAAGUUUUCUUAGUUUAUUUGAGUUGCGUAAAUAUUUGGGCAUGUGCAUUGGUUAUGGGAGUCAUCAUUAGAUUCUGCUAGCCAGUUCAUUUCACAGCAGUCUUCAUACUCACAAACUCAGAUUUUACUCGAACGAUUGUGACCAUACAGAGGUAUGCUCUUGAUUUUACUUACAGUUUGUAAAUUUUUUUUUACUUACACUUGGAAGUUUAACAUAUUACUUUCUUUUUGUUUCUCAUAUAUGGUUGUUUCAAGCACUGCUCAUUGCAGAUAAAAUCAGGGCAUGCUCUUUCUCAAAAGCACUGCAGUCCUUCUGAAGACAAUUAAAGCUAAAGUGCCAUCCUUCUGUUUCUAGAUG
rnacentral:lncRNA from 1 species